GGUGGUUGCGUUCAUGAGCGUUCCUCUCCUAAAUACAAUCUUUCCUACAUGAUUUGAACGAACCGUCAGUGUUUUAGCGCCACUAAACACCAUAUCUCCAGACACGUGACCUACAACUCAACUCUUAUUGGUCGGCGCGCUCUCAUAGCCGAACGAACACAAGUCGACACACUCGCCGAUGAAAAAUAUCUUCAAUUUGUUGGCGGGAAAUGUUCGGGUCGAAUACUCACUAGAGAAAGAAUCCUGCCAAGAGACUGCGACAGCCACAGCAGGAUGCCACAUCCGUGGAGUGACAUCUUGGACCCCAGGCACAUGUGUGCUGUCACCACCAUACCGGAUACUGCCAUCAUGCCUCUUAACAGCCCGAAUGACCCAGCCACCAAGGAGCAGAAGCUACAUGAUAAGUGGCCCCAUCAAAUAAGCCAACAUAUUAAGGUUCGUCUGCAAACUGCUCCCAGUGUGAAAAGAUGGAUGUCUUUUUUUUUCUUCUUUUUUUUUAUAUCACCUGAAACUAACAGCCUUCAAAAAAGGUGAAAUUUUACAACCACAAUAUUAAACAAGUGACUUCAUCAUUGUGGACAAGCAUAGUAAGUCCAAAAAGAGAAUCCAUCAGUCUUCAAAUAGAGAAAAAGAAAGUUUCCAUAAUCCUCAGCAGCGAACAAAGUCCGUCUCUUGGAACCAGUUCUCGAUAAAUAAAACUCACUCCAGGCAUUGAAAUAAGCAUCUGCUCCUUCAUUUCCUGCCUGUUGGUUUGGUAUUGACUAUUCAUGGACUGGCGAGUGGCAGGGUGGAAAAUAAUAAUGAGAGUAGUGAGCAAGAAGAGGAGGACCAUUCACGGCAUUGAUCCCUUCCUCCAGCCCCGGCGGAGAGAGAGAGUGAGUGAGAGAGGAAAGAGAGAGGGAGUGCCGCUCAAAGCCUCCUCCUCCCCUGCACCCUGUUGCUGAUUGGUGUUGAUGGAGAGUCCUGUAGCAUCAAGGUGACACAGGUGUUUUGGGCCACGCACUUGCGAAUGACUGACUGCACAUUCCUGCCCUCAGAUGCUGUCCAGUCCAGACUCAUCA